GGUCCGCCUAAAAAACCGACAGGCGGACCUGAACGGUCUGCCCGUGUGAAAGGGGCCUAAAGGUAAUUCUUUUAAUUUUGGAUGCUCUCUUCCAGUUGGACAAAUACUUUUCCAUUAAAGCUCAAACAAAAUAGUCCACAUGGUGUAAUCCCAUUCAGACACUUUAUGUUAAACAGUCUCGAUUAAAAACAGUCACAAAGAAAGACUUUUAAAAUGCUCAUCAAUCCCAAUGUAAUCAUCAGUAUCGCGCUCAGACAGUGUGGCUGGCGAUCCCAGCAUAUCGCCACAUCCGCCUGCAGCGAUUCCAGCAGUCUGCGUUGCCUCCCGCCGGCGUACUGACCUCACUUCAGGUUCACGUAUAGCCAUGUACUGAUGCGUUUCAUCAUUACGACUUCUUCCGAGGCUUGUAUAUUCGUAUAGCAUGUUUUCAUCUAGUAUCAUAUAUUUUUUAUAGAGAACACAAACCUGUUAAUCUGUUAACAUAUUUUAAAGAGUAUUAACACUUUUGCAGCCAAAUUGUGAUAACACCUACUUUGUAUUUGUUACUUGUUCCUGUUCACAUAGCAUA